rnacentral:rRNA from 1 species
CGGUAACAGGAAGCAGCUUGCUGCUUUGCUGACGAGUGGCGGACGGGUGAGUAAUGUCUGGGAAACUGCCUGAUGGAGGGGGAUAACUACUGGAAACGGUGGCUAAUACCGCAUAACGUCGCAAGACCAAAGAGGGGGACCUUCGGGCCUCUUGCCAUCAGAUGUGCCCAGAUGGGAUUAGCUUGUUGGUGAGGUAACGGCUCACCAAGGCGACGAUCCCUAGCUGGUCUGAGAGGAUGACCAGCCACACUGGAACUGAGACACGGUCCAGACUCCUACGGGAGGCAGCAGUGGGGAAUAUUGCACAAUGGGCGCAAGCCUGAUGCAGCCAUGCCGCGUGUAUGAAGAAGGCCUUCGGGUUGUAAAGUACUUUCAGCGGGGAGGAAGGUGUUGUGGUUAAUAACCGCAGCAAUUGACGUUACCCGCAGAAGAAGCACCGGCUAACUCCGUGCCAGCAGCCGCGGUAAUACGGAGGGUGCAAGCGUUAAUCGGAAUUACUGGGCGUAAAGCGCACGCAGGCGGUCUGUCAAGUCGGAUGUGAAAUCCCCGGGCUCAACCUGGGAACUGCAUUCGAAACUGGCAGGCUUGAGUCUUGUAGAGGGGGGUAGAAUUCCAGGUGUAGCGGUGAAAUGCGUAGAGAUCUGGAGGAAUACCGGUGGCGAAGGCGGCCCCCUGGACAAAGACUGACGCUCAGGUGCGAAAGCGUGGGGAGCAAACAGGAUUAGAUACCCUGGUAGUCCACGCCGUAAACGAUGUCUACUUGGAGGUUGUGCCCUUGAGGCGUGGCUUCCGGAGCUAACGCGUUAAGUAGACCGCCUGGGGAGUACGGCCGCAAGGUUAAAACUCAAAUGAAUUGACGGGGGCCCGCACAAGCGGUGGAGCAUGUGGUUUAAUUCGAUGCAACGCGAAGAACCUUACCUGGUCUUGACAUCCACAGAAGAAUCCAGAGAUGGAUUUGUGCCUUCGGGAACUGUGAGACAGGUGCUGCAUGGCUGUCGUCAGCUCGUGUUGUGAAAUGUUGGGUUAAGUCCCGCAACGAGCGCAACCCUUAUCCUUUGUUGCCAGCGGUUAGGCCGGGAACUCAAAGGAGACUGCCAGUGAUAAACUGGAGGAAGGUGGGGAUGACGUCAAGUCAUCAUGGCCCUUACGACCAGGGCUACACACGUGCUACAAUGGCGCAUACAAAGAGAAGCGACCUCGCGAGAGCAAGCGGACCUCAUAAAGUGCGUCGUAGUCCGGAUUGGAGUCUGCAACUCGACUCCAUGAAGUCGGAAUCGCUAGUAAUCGUGGAUCAGAAUGCCACGGUGAAUACGUUCCCGGGCCUUGUACACACCGCCCGUCACACCAUGGGAGUGGGUUGCAAAAGAAGUAGGUAGCUUAACCUUCGGGAGGGCGCUUACCACUUUGUGAUUCAUGACUGGGGUGAAGUCGUAACAAGGUAACCGUAGGGGAACCUGCGGUUGGAUCACCUCCUUACCUUAAAGAA